rnacentral:rRNA from 1 species
AACGAACGCUGGCGGCAGGCUUAACACAUGCAAGUCGAACGCCCCGCAAGGGGAGUGGCAGACGGGUGAGUAACGCGUGGGAAUCUACCCAGCUCUACGGAAUAACUCAGGGAAACUUGUGCUAAUACCGUAUACGUCCGAUAGGAGAAAGAUUUAUCGGAGUUGGAUGAGCCCGCGUUGGAUUAGCUAGUUGGUGGGGUAAUGGCCUACCAAGGCGACGAUCCAUAGCUGGUCUGAGAGGAUGAUCAGCCACAUUGGGACUGAGACACGGCCCAAACUCCUACGGGAGGCAGCAGUGGGGAAUAUUGGACAAUGGGCGCAAGCCUGAUCCAGCCAUGCCGCGUGAGUGACGAAGGUCUUCGGAUUGUAAAGCUCUUUUGGCGGGGACGAUAAUGACGGUACCCGCAGAAUAAGCCCCGGCUAACUUCGUGC